rnacentral:rRNA from 1 species
UACGUAGGGGGCGAGCGUUGUCCGGAUUUAUUGGGCGUAAAGAGCGUGUAGGCGGCCAGACAGGUCCGUUGUGAAAACUCGAGGCUCAACCUCGAGAUGUCGAUGGAAACCGUCUGGCUAGAGUCCGGAAGAGGAGUGUGGAAUUCCUGGUGUAGCGGUGAAAUGCGCAGAUAUCAGGAAGAACACCUAUGGCGAAGGCAGCACUCUGGGACGGUACUGACGCUGAGGCGCGAAAGCCAGGGGAGCAAACGGG